rnacentral:rRNA from 1 species
UACGUAGGGUGCAAGCGUUGUCCGGAAUUAUUGGGCGUAAAGAGCUCGUAGGCGGUCUGUCGCGUCGGAUGUGAAAAUCCAGGGCUCAACCCUGGACCUGCAUUCGAUACGGGCAGACUAGAGUUCGGUAGGGGAGACUGGAAUUCCUGGUGUAGCGGUGAAAUGCGCAGAUAUCAGGAGGAACACCGGUGGCGAAGGCGGGUCUCUGGGCCGAAACUGACGCUGAGGAGCGAAAGCGUGGGGAGCAAACAGU